GAUGAACGCUGGCGGCGUGCCUAAUACAUGCAAGUCGAGCGAACAGACGAGGAGCUUGCUCCUUUGACGUUAGCGGCGGACGGGUGAGUAACACGUGGGUAACCUACCUAUAAGACUGGGAUAACUUCGGGAAACCGGAGCUAAUACCGGAUAAUAUUUCGAACCGCAUGGUUCGAUAGUGAAAGAUGGCUUUGCUAUCACUUAUAGAUGGGCCUGCGCCGUAUUAGCUAGUUGGUAAGGUAACGGCUUACCAAGGCAACGAUACGUAGCCGACCUGAGAGGGUGAUCGGCCACACUGGAACUGAGACACGGUCCAGACUCCUACGGGAGGCAGCAGUAGGGAAUCUUCCGCAAUGGGCGAAAGCCUGACGGAGCAACGCCGCGUGAGUGAUGAAGGUCUUCGGAUCGUAAAACUCUGUUAUUAGGGAAGAACAAACGUGUAAGUAACUGUGCACGUCUUGACGGUACCUAAUCAGAAAGCCACGGCUAACUACGUG
rnacentral:rRNA from 1 species